rnacentral:rRNA from 1 species
AUCUUGCACAAUGGGGGCAACCCUGAUGCAGCGAUGCCGCGUGAGUGAAGAAGGCCUUCGGGUUGUAAAGCUCUUUCGAUUGGGAAGAAGGGUUUUUAAGUGAAUAAUUUAAGAAUCUGACGGUACCUAGAGAAGAAGCACCGGCUAACUCCGUGCCAGCAGCCGCGGUAAUACGAAGGGUGCAAGCGUUACUCGGAAUUACUGGGCGUAAAGCGUGCGUAGGUGGUUUGUUAAGUCUGAUGUGAAAGCCCUGGGCUCAACCUGGGAAUGGCAUUGGAUACUGGCAGGCUAGAGUGCGGUAGAGGGUAGUGGAAUUCCCGGUGUAGCAGUGAAAUGCGUAGAGAUCGGGAGGAACAUCUGUGGCGAAGGCGACUACCUGGACCAGCACUGACACUGAGGCACGAAAGCGUGGGGAGCAAA